rnacentral:sRNA from 1 species
AAUUUGUUGGGGGCAAAUAAAAUGUAUAUGCGCAUCCAUACCACCAGCCGUCAAAAUUUUUCCUUCGCCAGCAAUUACCUCAGUUGCUGGACCAAUGAUUAUAUUUACCCCACUCUGAAUAUCAGGGUUUCCAGCCUUUCCUAUAGAGUGGAUCUUCCCAUCCUUUACGCCAAUAUCUGCUUUAUAUAUUCCCAAGUAGUCGAUCACUAAUGCAUUAGUGACAACUAAGUCAACAGCCCCAUCUGAUCGGGUAACUUGGCUCUGUCCCAUCCCAUCUCU